UACGUAGGGGGCGAGCGUUGUCCGGAAUCAUUGGGCGUAAAGCGCGCGUAGGCGGCCCUGUAAGUCCGUUGUGAAAGUCAAAGGCUCAACCUUUGAAAGCCGAUGGAUACUGCAGGGCUAGAGUCCGGAAGAGGCGAGUGGAAUUCCUGGUGUAGCGGUGGAAUGCGCAGAUAUCAGGAGGAACACCAAUAGCGAAGGCAGCUCGCUGGGACGGUACUGACGCUAAGGCGCGAAAGCGUGGGGAGCGAACAGG
rnacentral:rRNA from 1 species